GGAUGGGAGGGUGAUCUGGCUGCAGCAUCUGUCACCCCACUGGUCACCAGGGUUGAUUCGGCUGAUCUGGCUGGCUACGCGGUGUCCCCUUCCUCCCUCACCACUCCAUGUGCAUCCUUCCUGAAGCUGCACGCUCUGUUGGAGAGGACGACCUUCCCCGAUAGAGCAGGAUUUUUCCUCGGUCAAGGAUAUACGAGUAGCUGUGCUCCCCUGCUAGAACCUCCAAACAAGCUCUCAAGAAAUAAUAAAUUAUUUAGUUAAAAAAAACCAGUUUAUUAUUUUAAAAGAAAAGUUGAUUUUU
rnacentral:snRNA from 1 species